rnacentral:rRNA from 1 species
AGAGUUUGAUCAUGGCUCAGAACAAACGCUGGCGGCGUGCCUAACACAUGCAAGUCGUACGAGAAAGUCCGCUUCGGUGGAUGAGUAAAGUGGCGCACGGGUGAGUAACGCGUGGAUAAUCUACCCUUUAGUCUGGAAUAACUUAUCGAAAGGUGAACUAAUACCGGAUAAUAUCCCGAUUUCUUCGGCGAUCGGGAUCAAAGAAGGCCUCUGCUUGCAAGCUUUCACUGAAGGAUGAGUCCGCGUACCAUUAGCUAGUUGGCAGGGUGAUGGCCUACCAAGGUUAUGAUGGUUAGCUGGUCUGAGAGGAUGAUCAGCCACACUGGAACUGAAACACGGUCCAGACUCCUACGGGAGGCAGCAGUGAGGAAUAUUGCGCAAUGGGGGCAACCCUGACGCAGCAACGCCGCGUGAGUGAGGAAGGUUUUCGGAUUGUAAAGCUCUGUCGAGCGGAAAGAAGUGCAUGGUGGUUAAUAUCCAUCAUGCUUGACGGUACCGCUAAAGGAAGCACCGGCUAACUCCGUGCCAGCAGCCGCGGUAAUACGGGGGGUGCAAGCGUUGUUCGGAAUCAUUGGGCGUAAAGCGCGUGUAGGCGGCUGGACAAGUCAGAUGUGAAAGCCCUGGGCUUAACCCAGGAAGUGCAUUUGAAACUGUUCAGCUAGAGUAAGGGAGAGGAAAGUGGAAUUCCUGGUGUAGAGGUGAAAUUCGUAGAUAUCAGGAGGAACACCGGUGGCGAAGGCGACUUUCUGGCCCUAUACUGACGCUGAGACGCGAAAGCGUGGGUAGCAAACAGGAUUAGAUACCCUGGUAGUCCACGCUGUAAAACGAUGUUCACUAGGUGUUGGGGGUAUUGACCCUUCCAGUGCCGCAGCUAACGCAUUAAGUGAACCGCUGGGAGUACGGUCGCAGAUUAAAACUCAAGGGAUUUGACGG